rnacentral:lncRNA from 1 species
CUGCUGAUGCUGUACGUAUGGCUUGCACCCAGAGAGGGAGUAAAGCCAUGUCAAAACUGUCUACGAUUCCUUGAGUGUUUUUCCAGCUACCAGCCACUCACCCACUUACUCCCCUCAGACCUCAGUUAGAACCUGACGAUUGGUGUUAUGAACAGGAUCCUGAGCUGUGCUGCUGGAAUGGGCUCUGAUGGAAACCUGGCUGGUGGUGGAUGGGUCCCUCAUGAGCAUGGAGAAGGCAAUGAAGCAACUGGAAGUGCAGAGAACUGAGAAGGAGCGAGCUUUUGCCUGCAGAUUUCGAUGGGCAUUUUUGACUGUGCUACAAGAAGUACACACCCAGUUCCUGAAGGAUGCAGUGCAGAUGAGGAAGUAGAGGUGCAGAGACCAGGGAAAAAGGUCAAGAUCUCAAUGCUAACAGAUCAUGGGUGAGGCUGUGAAAACAGAGAAACCAUGUGUUAUGUGACAGGAUGCUCCUCUGAAGACUGACGAUGUUACUUGGGAUUUAAGCUGCCAAUUAUAGAACUGCUGCUACCUGGAGACUGACCAAAAUAGAGAAUUUGAACUCCAGAGCCCCCACCUCUGACCAGGAGGCCUCCCAACAGAGAGCUCUAAUAAA